GUCUACGGCCAUACCACCCUGAACACGCCCAAUCUCCUCUGAUCUUGGAAGCUAAGCAGGGUCGGGCCUGUUUAGUACUUGGAUGGGAGGAAUAGACACACUCAUGUAAACU
rnacentral:rRNA from 1 species